GCCAGCAUGGUAUAGUGGUUUGAAUGUUGGACUAGGACUCUGGAAACCAGGGUUCGAAUCCCUGCUCAACCA